UCAAACUUGGUCAUUUAGAGGAAGUAAAAGUCGUAACAAGGUUUCCGUAGGUGAACCUGCGGAAGGAUCAUUACAAAGUAUCCGGCUCCGGCCGCCAACCACUGCUUGCGGCGGCUUAACCGCCGUCGUGAGACAGUUUACCCCUUGUGAAAACCUUUGUUGCUUCGGCAGCUCCUCCCCGUCCGCGGGGGGGGUCAGCCUGCCGGCGGCACCCUGGAAACUCAUUUUGAAAAUUUGUAUCACAACGUCUGAUAGCGCAGUCGAAUGACACAUAAAACUUUCAACAACGGAUCUCUUGGUUCCCGCAUCGAUGAAGAACGCAGC
rnacentral:misc_RNA from 1 species